rnacentral:rRNA from 1 species
AGCGAACGCUGGCGGCAGGCCUAACACAUGCAAGUCGAACGGACUCUUCGGGGUUAGUGGCGGACGGGUGAGUAACACGUGGGAACGUGCCUUUAGGUUCGGAAUAGCUCCUGGAAACGGGUGGUAAUGCCGAAUGUGCCCUUCGGGGGAAAGAUUUAUCGCCUUUAGAGCGGCCCGCGUCUGAUUAGCUAGUUGGUGAGGUAAUGGCUCACCAAGGCGACGAUCAGUAGCUGGUCUGAGAGGAUGACCAGCCACAUUGGGACUGAGACACGGCCGAAACUCCUACGGGAGGCAGCAGUGGGGAAUCUUGCGCAAUGGGCGAAAGCCUGACGCAGCCAUGCCGCGUGGAUGAUGAAGGUCUAGGAUUGUAAAAUCCUUUCACCGGUGAAGAUAAUGACUGUAGCCGGAGAAGAAGCCCCGGCUAACUUCGUGCCAGCAGCCGCCGUAACAC